GUCAUGAGCUAUUUUUUAACCCAAAUUUGAAGAUGUAGGUCAAGCUGAACCAAAAGCAUUUACAUCAAAUUAGGAAUUUGUUGGUCAAGCACCUGCUGUACAUAGAACAACAAUCCAUUACAGCUUUGACUAUGCCGAGCAGGUCUUCUACCUAUACUAGGCACAGCAAGAGUGCCCUGCUUUGAAGUGUUCUGUAAAUCAUAUGGUUCACAGAUAUCUCAGUGAUAAGGGUUUAGCUGUUAUGUGGCCAAUGGUGUGGUACCUCAUUUUCAACAUCAUCCAUAUAGAGAAGACUCUGCAUAUCUGCACAUUGACAACUGUGUUUGGUGGAAUAAAAACAAUGUAGUCAUUGGGGUCUGAUGUAUUCUGAAGGGAGAGACACAGCAUUUAC